GAUGAACGCUAGCGGCAGGCUUAAUACAUGCAAGUCGAGGGACAGCACAGGUAGCAAUACUGGGUGGUAACCGGCAAACGGGUGCGGAACACGUACACAACCUUCCUUUGAGUGGGGAAUAGCCCAGAGAAAUUUGGAUUAAUACCCCGUAAUAUAGUUGAAUGGCAUCAUUUGAUUACUAUAGCUACGGCGCUUAAUGAUGGGUGUGCGGCGGAUUGGAUAGUUGGCGGGGUAACGGCCCACCAAGUCUACGAUCAGUAGCUGAUGUGAGAGCAUGAUCAGCCACACGGGAACUGAGACACGGUCCAGACUCCUACGGGAGGCAGCAGUGGGGAAUUUUGGACAAUGGGCGAAAGCCUGAUCCAGCCAUGCCGCGUGAGUGAAGAAGGCCUUCGGGUUGUAAAGCUCUUUCGGCUGAAAAGAAAUCGCACAGGCUAAUACCCUGUGUGGAUGACGGUAUCAGCAUAAGAAGCACCGGCUAACUACGUGCCAGCCGCCGCAGUAAAAC
rnacentral:rRNA from 1 species